rnacentral:misc_RNA from 1 species
GUGUGUGAUUACGCUAGUGGUGUUAGAGUGUGUGUUGUGUGGUGGUGGUGGGGUGACGUGGCGCAUGCGUGUUGACACACCACUCCCCACCCCCCUACUGUGCACGGUGCAUACAUACAUAGCCUCGCUGAUGAUCCUUCCGCAGGUUCACCUACGGAAA